rnacentral:miRNA from 1 species
CGCUUCAUCAGGUGAAAAUGGA